rnacentral:rRNA from 1 species
AUACGUAGGGGGCGAGCGUUGUCCGGAAUGAUUGGGCGUAAAGGGCGCGUAGGCGGCCCGGUAAGUCUGGAGUGAAAGUCCUGUUUUUAAGAUGGGAAUUGCUUUGGAUACUGUCGGGCUUGAGUGCAGGAGAGGUAAGUGGAAUUCCCAGUGUAGCGGUGAAAUGCGUAGAGAUUGGGAGGAACACCAGUGGCGAAGGCGACUUACUGGACUGUAAAUGACGCUGAGGCGUGAAAGUGUGGGGAGCAAACAGGAUUAGAUACCCUGGUAGUCCACACUGUAAACGAUGAAUGCUAGGUGUAGGGGGUAUCGACCCCUUCUGUGCCGCAGUCAACACAAUAAGCAUUCCGCCUGGGGAGUACGGCCGCAAGGUUGAAACUCAAAGGAAUUGACGGGG